ensembl:lncRNA
AUGAGCGAAACCCUCCUCCUUACGCUUUUGCUUCUUUGCUCUGCUUUAGGCCUGAAUCACUUUAUAGUUCCUCAGAAUUUGACCUCGGAGACCGGAAAAACUGUCACCUUUGAAUGUGGUGUUGGUGGAUUGAAUGGGGAAAAAAUCCGGUUUUACAUUAUGGGUCCAAAGGUCAAUGAUUCCGUGUCUUGUCCAGGAGAAAAAACCAAGUACUUGCCUGCUCAGUCAAUGAAAGCCUACUGUUAUACAAAAUCUGGUGGAGAUGUAGCUGCUUGGGAAGUCGCAGGAACAUCAGAAGAUGACAAUGGCACUAUUUUUUUGUGCAAAGUCAAUACUGCAGAUGACAAAAUCGGAUACCUUUAUGUGUACGGUAUGUUACUAGCAAUUAAAAGUGUGUGUCAAUGUGAACAGACACUUGCCUUCAAGUCUUUCUCUCUGUGUUUCUUUCAGAGAAUGAUUCAUACUAUGCCAAGCUCAUUGGAUAUGUGAUUGGAGGAUUUUUAGCUGGUCUCAUUAUCAUCGUUGCGGCUUAUGUCCUGUUGAAAAGAUCAGAGAAAGUACAGCACUGCUUCAGUAAGUUUCUCAUUGUUCAUGUACUUAGCACACUAGAUUCUAUUCUGUUUUACACACUGGAAUAUAUCUAAUGUACAUGAAGAGAUACUGAGUUAUAGACAGAUAGUUUCUCAAGUUUGGUCUUGUUCUGCGUUUUUAGGGUCAGUGGGUGGAAUCCAAGAUGACGUGCAAUAGCCACAAUCUAAGCAAUACUGAAACCCCUCUCAUGCUCCUUACCAACAAAUGUGGAUUUGGAGGGCUAAUAAUAACAUAGCACAAACAUCGCAAUAUAAUAUAGGUUCUGCAGAUUUGAAAGAAAGGCCUGUGUUUCUCAGUUUUCAGUCUUGUCCAGUAGAGGGCGUGUUCACUUCUUUGUUCACAGCCAUGUUUUAGUUUCUCAUGUUCCUGGUUCAAAAUCCUUUUUUUUUUUUUUUGGUCACAGAGGAACAUUUUAAGUAACUAUAAUAUCUAAAUUUUAAUUUCGAACCCUAAUUUACACUAAAAUGUGAGGGAUUUUGAUACAGGAGUAUGUUCUAUUAGUUAAUCCACUUUAAGCAUCAAGCAACACCACCUUUCAAGAAUGUUUAUCUUACAAAUACACACAUUUGAUUAUCUAAUUGUGGAUCUGCUGUUUAAUGAAUAGUCAAGUACUCAGAAUGAAUGUGUCAUUGUCAUGCUGUUUACCAUAUUCAUUUAUUUUAGUUGUUUUUUAUUUUCAAUGUAAUGUAAAUUACUCACUGCUUUGAUUUCAUUUCAUUUUAUACUGCUUUAAGAGGCUAAAUGACAAAAUUCACAGCACACAUAUGAGGCUUUUGGGUUGCGUUGAGUAGAUCAAUAGGAGAUGGGUCAAUAUUGACACAGGUGGUUCUGUGCACCCUGGAACAGCCGUGUUUCUAUUCUACUACACUUUUCAUUGUAGAUAUCAGUCCGUAAGCAUUUAGUUUUAAAGUUUUAAAGGCUCAGAAACUGCGUAUUUAAUCCUGUUUUGAACCUUUGACUAUUUGCAUAUGUGCUCUGGCAUUUGUAAACACUCAUGAAGUCACAUUACAACAUACAAGCACAACAAUCAUCUGCUUUAGCUCACAGUCACAUUUAAUAUUAAUGUUGUAUGAUAUUUUCAGAAUGUGCUUGUAUCAAUUCAAAAUGUAAACAUUAUUGUAAACAUCUGAAAUGUAGACGAGAGCCUUUCAAAUCAGAUUAGACAGUCAAAUCUAAAACAUUUAUAUUGUUAUUUUUGGUUACAUUUUGACUUUAUUUUAAUGCUUUCCGUUCUCUUGAAAGACUCCAAUGCUGUUUGUGUAAAAAUAAUUGAAUUACCCUAUUAUUUUCUUUUCAAAUUCUUGUAAUAUGUUCCACUGACCUUAUCAAAACCCAGUAGACAGAUAUUAUUGAGGCUUCUACUCUCUGUUUUAUCAGCAUGUACUUUUCAUAAAGGUGAUUAUCUUGUAUACAGACUUUUGUUUGGGGUCAGUUUGACCAAUGUAUAAAUACAUUUUAGAAUAAUAUAAUAAAACGCAUAAGAAUCAGGACA